rnacentral:tRNA from 1 species
GGAGAAAUGGCAGAGUGGUCGAAUGCACUGGUCUUGAAAACCAGCGUACCGAGAGGUACCGGGGGUUCGAAUCCCUCUUUCUCCGC